rfam:Fukomys damarensis contig113026, whole genome shotgun sequence.
GGAUGUGAGGGCGAUCAGGCUGUAACAUCUGUCACCCUGAUUGCCAGGGUUGACUUAGCUGAUCUGGCUGGCUAGGUAGUGUCCCCUUCCUCCUUCACUGCUCCUUGUGCAUCCCUCCCAAAGUUGCGCACUUGGUAGAAGAAGAUGACCAUCCCCAAUAGGGGAAGAUCUUUUCUUUAGUGAAGGCUAUACUAGUAGCUGAACUCCCCUGCUAGAACUUCCAAACAAGCUCUCAAGAAUAUACUGUUCCAGCUAACACUUCCAGUGACCCACCUGCUUCAACCAGGUCUCACCUAAUAACACAUUCAGC